rnacentral:rRNA from 1 species
GACGAACGCUGGCGGCGUGCUUAACACAUGCAAGUCGAACGGUGAAGCGCCUUCCUUUUUGGUGGGUGUGGAUGAGUGGCGAACGGGUGAGUAACACGUGAGUAACCUGCCCCCUUCUUCUGGAUAACCGCAUGAAAGUGUGGCUAAUACGGGAUAUUCUGGGUCUGUCGCAUGAUGGGUCUGGGAAAGAUAUUGUUUCGGUGGGGGAUGGGCUCGCGGCCUAUCAGCUUGUUGGUGGGGUGAUGGCCUACCAAGGCGGUGACGGGUAGCCGGCCUGAGAGGGUGGACGGUCACACUGGGACUGAGACACGGGCCAGACUCCUACGGGAGGCAGCAGUGGGGAAUAUUGCACAAUGGGCGCAAGCCUGAUGCAGCGACGCCGCGUGAGGGAUGGAGGCCUUCAGGUUGUGAACCUCUUUCGCCAGUGAAGCAGGCCUGCCUCGUUUGUGGGUGGGUUGACGGUAGCUGGAUAAGAAGCGCCGGCUAACUACGUG